AAUGUGACCGACGCUGUCGCGUUAACACAUGAAGUCGAACGAACUCUUCGGAGUGAGUGGCGGACGGGUGAGUAACGCGUGAGAAUCUGCCUGUGGGUCGGGGAAACCACUGGAAGCGGUGGCUAAUACCGGAUGAGCCGAAAGGUAAAAAAUUUAUUGCCCACAGAUGAGCUCGCGUCUGAUUAGCUAGUUGGUAAGGUAAAAGCGUACCAAGGCGACGAUCAGUAGCUGGUCUGAGAGGAUGAGCAGCCACACUGGGACUGAGACACGGCCCAGACUCCUACGGGAGGCAGCAGUGGGGAAUUUUCCGCAAUGGGCGAACGCCUGACGGAGCAAGACCGCGUGGGGGAGGAAGGUUUUUGGAUCGUAAACCCCUUUUGCCAAGGAAGAAGUUCUGACGGUACUUGACGAAUAAGCCUCGGCUAACUCCGUGCCAGCAGCCGGGGUAAUACGGAGGAGGCAAGCGUUAUCCGGAAUGAUUGGCCGUAAAGCGUCUGUAGGUGGCCAGCUAAGUCUGCUGUUAAAGAUCACAGCUCAACUGUGGAAAGGCAGUGGAAACUGGCAAGCUAGAGGCUGGUAGGGGUAAAGGGAAUCCCCGGUGUAGCGGUGAAUUGCGUAGAUAUCGGGAAGAACACCGGGGGCGAAAGCCCUUUACUGGGCCAGACCUGACACUGAAGGACGAAAGCUAGGGGAGCGAAAGGGAUUAGAUACCCCCCGUAGUCCCUAGCUGUAAACGAUGGAGACUAGGGUGUAGCACGUAUCGACCCGUGCUGUAUCGUAGCCAACGCGUUAAGUCUCCCGCCUGGGGAGUACGCACGCAAGUGUGAAACUCAAAGGAAUUGACGG
rnacentral:rRNA from 1 species